AGCACGUUGGGGAGAGCCCGGAGCAAGGUGAGGUGCAGCCCUAAAGCCUGAAUUCUGUAGAGUGCGAUCGAAUCUUAUCUCUAAAUAUCUUUUGUCUUCAUGGGGUAACGGUAGUUUAUCCAGGUGAAUUGCGAUUGCUUUCCCCGCCCUGCGUUAAAAUCGUAUCUCCCCGAGGGCGUUUCAUCUGGUUGGUGUUAGGGGGUUGAGGAUCUCUGCCCUUUGGGGUUUCCAGCACAGCCUGGUGUCACCUCAGACCCAGCUGUCCCUCCUUUCUGUUGGGAGCAACUCUCUUCCACUCAGCACAACGCGUUUAAUGGAGGAGCAUCAAGGGCUAAAACAGAAAACUCAGAUCAAACGAUUUUCCUCCUGAAGCACUGCUCACAGGUGAGCACUAAAGUAUUGUUAUUAUUAUUAUUAUUUUAUCAAGUUACUAACGUGCACAGGCAGAAACAGUGGCUAUAGCUGAGUGUUUUGCUUCUAACUUAGAAGAUAAUUGUGGAUUUGGAAUGUCUUUCUUAAAUAAUUUUGUCUAUUUUUUGUGUGCCUAACUAUGAAUGAGUCAUAUGGUCAAAUGUCCAGGGACAAACAGUUUUGCUCUUAAAAAGUGAAUUAAAUGAAUGAAUAUUAGGGCAGUGUGUUUCUGUUAAGCAUUAUUUUUGACAAAAAGUUUUGAAAAAUAGGCAAACUCACAUGACGAUAUACUCGUGUUUAAUUGUAGCUUUUCUUUAAUCAUUGUA
rnacentral:lncRNA from 1 species